GUAGGGAAUAUUGCCCAAUGGGCGAAAGCCUGAGGCAGCAACGCCGCGUGUGCGAUGAAGGCCUUCGGGUCGUAAAGCACUUUUUGAGGAGACGAGGAAGGACGGUAUCCUCAGAAUAAGGAUCGGCUAACUACGUGCCAGCAGCCGCGGUAACACGUAGGAUCCGAGCGUUAUCCGAAUUCACUGGGCGUAAAGCGCAUGCAGGCGGUUCGAUAAGUUGGAUGUGAAAUCUCCUGGCUCAACUGGGAGAGGGCGUUCAAUACUGUUGGACUAGAGUACGGUAGAGGGAGGUGGAAUUCCCGGUGUAGUAGUGAAAUGCGUAGAUAUCGGGAGGAACACCAGAGGCGAAGGCGACCUCCUGGACCGUUACUGACGCUCAGAUGCGAAAGCUAGGGGAGCGAACGGGAUUAGAUACCCCAGUAGUCC
rnacentral:rRNA from 1 species